CCACUGGUGAAUCUUGUAGAGGACAGUGUGGAGGAAGCCACGCCCUCUCUCCCCAGGAUAAGAUCAAGGGCAUCGGACACAGGCUGAUGAGGAGAGGCCGAUUCUGGAGACACAUAAGAAUCCAGACAAAGCCAGAGCCAGGUGAAGAACAUCAAGAGGGCCCACUGAUGAAUCUUGUAGAGGACAGUGUGGAGGAAGCCACGCCCUCUCUCCCCAGGAUAAGAUCAAGGGCAUCAGACACAGGCUGAUGAGGAGAGGCCGAUUAUGGAAACACAUAAGAAUCCAGACAAAGCCAGAGCCAGGUGAAGAACAUCAAGAGGGCCCACUGAUGAAUCUUGUAGAGGACAGUGUGGAGGAAGCCACGCCCUCUCUCCCCAGGAACAUCAAGAGGGCCCACUGAUGAAUCUUGUAGAGGACAGUGUGGAGGAAGCCACGCCCUCUCUCCCCAGGAUAAGAUCAAGUGCAUCAGACACAG